rnacentral:rRNA from 1 species
AUUGAACGAUGGCGGCAUGCCUAACACAUGCAAGUCGAACGAGUGGCGGACGGGUGAGUAAUGUCUGGGAAACUGCCUGAUGGAUGGGGAUAACUACUGGAAACGGUAGCUAAUACCGCAUACCAUCGGAUGUGCCCAGAUGGGAUUAGCUAGUAGGUGGGGUAAAGGCUCACCUAGGCGACGAUCCCUAUCUGGUCUGAGAGGAUGACCAGCCACACUGGAACUGAGACACGGUCCAGACUCCUACGGGAGGCAGCAGUGGGGAAUAUUGCACAAUGGGCGAAAGCCUGAUGCAGCCAGGCCGCGUGGAUGAAGAAGGCCUUCGGGUUUUAAAGUACUUUCAGCGGGGAGGCGUUACCCGCAGAAGAAGCACCGGCUAACUCCGUGCCAGCAGCCGCGGUAAUUC